UAGGGAAUCUUCGGCAAUGGACGAAAGUCUGACCGAGCAACGCCGCGUGAGUGAAGAAGGUUUCGGAUCGUAAAACUCUGUUGGUAGAGAAGAACGUUGGUGAGAGUGGAAAGCUCAUCAAGUGACGGUAACUACCCAGAAAGGGACGGCUAACUACGUGCCAA
rnacentral:rRNA from 1 species